UCAGAGCUGUGGGUCUUGGGGCUCAGGGCCUGGUACACAGUAGGAGGUCAUUAAACAUCCCACACUGGUCAGUUACAGCCUCCUACGUCCCAGCUGUGCGUUUCCUGUGAAAAGAAUAAGCUCGCCUAAGACCAUGGCCUGAGGGGACUCCAGUGACGUUCCCAGUGCCAGCAGACAGAACUGCGCAGACCCCGCGGGACGCCAUCCUCCAUCACCAUCAUCGCCGGCUGCCCUCCACCCCCAGCCCACUCCACGGCCAGAGGUGCAUCUCCGGCCUCCAGACACGCACAACAGGUUUCAGGGGUCCCUCAAACAUCUGGGCUGUCAUCCUUCGGAGAGACUGGAACUGAGACACAAGGAGAGACCUAGUGAUGUGGGAGAGUUAGGAGAAGAAGCAGUGAUUUCAAACGCAUGCCCCUCACACGGAAGAAGGGCAGGGGGAAAGCCAUGCAGGUGUGGGCGUGGCACUUGAGCAGCCUCUCCCAUGGGCACCCAGUGGUUAAUGCACAAUGUUUAGCACGUCGCCCAGGGAGGCCAUCCCCUUCCGCUACCCCUUUCAUGGCAAAUGCUGAAACAUCGUUGAAGACUCCUCUCAAGGGUCUCCUCUUCCAGGAAGCCUUCGGUCAGGAAUAGGUGCCCCUUCUGGCUCCUCCUAGCCUGAAAGCCAACAUGAAAUCUCCCUGGGCUGA
rnacentral:lncRNA from 1 species